rnacentral:rRNA from 1 species
GAGUUUGAUCCUGGCUCAGGGCGAACGCUGGCGGUGCGCUUAAUGCAUGCAAGUCGAGCGAGCCAUACUCGAUUCGUCGGGUGUGGAAAGCGGCAGACGGCUGAGUAACACGUGAGUAACCUGUCCUUCGGUGGGGAAAAACCCCGAGAAAUCGAGGCUAAUACCGCAUAAGUCCCUCUGGCCCUGGCCGGAGGGGGAAAGUCUUAGGACGCCGGAGGAGGGGCUCGCGACCUAUCAGGUAGUUGGUAGGGUAAAAGCCUACCAAGCCGACGACGGGUAGCUGGUCUGAGAGGAUGGCCAGCCAGAGGGGGACUGAGACACGGCCCCCACUCCUACGGGAGGCAGCAGCAGGGAAUUUUGGGCAAUGGGCGAAAGCCUGACCCAGCGACGUCGCGUGGGGGACGAAGGUCUUCGGAUUGUAAACCCCUUUUCCCAGGGAAGAGAGAGGACGGUACCUGGGGAAUAAGCCCCGGCUAACUACGUGCCAGCAGCCGCGGUAAUACGUAGGGGGCAAGCGUUACCCGGAAUCACUGGGCGUAAAGAGCGCGUAGGCGGCUAGGUAAGUCUUUUGUGAAAGCUCCCGGCUUAACUGGGAGAGGUCAAGGGAUACUACCUAGCUAGAGGGCAGCAGAGGAAGGCGGAAUUUCCCGGUGUAGCGGUGAAAUGCGUAGAUAUCGGGAGGAACACCAGUGGCGAAAGCGCCCUUCUGGGCUGUGCCUGACGCUGAGCGCGAGAGCGUGGGGAGC